rnacentral:rRNA from 1 species
AUUGAACGCUGGCGGAAUGCUUUACACAUGCAAGUCGAGCGGCAGCACGGGGGCAACCCUGGUUGCGAGCGGCGAACGGGUGAGUAACACAUCGGAACAUGCCCAGUCGUGGGGGAUAACACUUCGAAAGAAGUGCUAAUACCGCAUACGUCCUGAGGGAGAAAGCGGGGGAUCGCAAGACCUCGCGCGAUUGGAGUGGCCGAUGUCAGAUUAGCUAGUUGGUGGGGUAAAGGCCUACCAAGGCAACGAUCUGUAGCUGGUCUGAGAGGAUGAUCAGCCACACUGGGACUGAGACACGGCCCAGACUCCUACGGGAGGCAGCAGUGGGGAAUUUUGGACAAUGGGGGCAACCCUGAUCCAGCCAUUCCGCGUGAGUGAAGAAGGCCUUCGGGUUGUAAAGCUCUUUCGGCAGGAACGAAACGGUGAGCUCUAACAUAGCUUGCUAAUGACGGUACCUGAAGAAGAAGCACCGGCUAACUACGUG